UGCGGGGUGGAGAAGUGGCAUCUCGCAAGGCUCAUAACCUUGAGACGUCGGUUCGAAUCCGACCCCCGCUA
rnacentral:tRNA from 1 species